rnacentral:rRNA from 1 species
UGGGGAAUAUUGGACAAUGGGCGAAAGCCUGAUCCAGCAAUGCCGCGUGAGUGAUGAAGGCCUUAGGGUUGUAAAGCUCUUUUACCCGGGAUGAUAAUGACAGUACCGGGAGAAUAAGCUCCGGCUAACUUCGUGCCAGCAGCCGCGGUAAUACGAGGGGAGCUAGCGUUGUUCGGAAUUACUGGGCGUAAAGCGCGCGUAGGCGGUUUUUUAAGUCAGAGGUGAAAGCCCGGGGGCUCAACCCCGGAAUAGCCUUUGAAACUGGAAAACUAGAAUCUUGGAGAGGUCAGUGGAAUUCCGAGUGUAGAGGUGAAAUUCGUAGAUAUUCGGAAGAACACCAGUGGCGAAGGCGACUGACUGGACAAGUAUUGACGCUGAGGUGCGAAAGCGUGGGGAAGCAAACAGGAUUAGAUACCCUGGUAGUCCACGCCGUAAACGAUGAUAACUAGCUGUCCGGGCUCAUAGAGCUUGGGUGGCGCAGCUAACGCAUUAAGUUAUCCGCCUGGGGAGUACGGUCGCAAGAUUAAAACUCAAAUGAAUUGACGGGGUCAUAGCUGUUUCCU